GCCGGUGUAGCUCAGUUGGUAGAGCAACGCUCUUGUAAAGCGAAGGUCGGGGGUUCGAGUCCCUCCACCGGCACCA
rnacentral:tRNA from 2 species